UCUCUGUUAAAACAGUUGUUCGAGUUCUUCAAAGAUAAAGGGCCAAAAGCAUAUCGAAAUAUAACUGCUGAACUGAAAAAACAUAAGUUUUAUUUCAACCCUUCUCAGGUUGAACAAAAACUGCGUCAACUAGGCCUUCAUGUCAGUUCUGUUGAGACUAGCCACGUCGGUAUAAGAGGUCGUAAUUUUAGCGAGGUGGAAGACACCCAAAUAUGCCGUUCGUGGAAAACAAUUACAAACGACGCAACCGUAGGGACGGAUCAAGCCAGGACGAAAUUUUGGGAAAAAAUUCAAUUACAUGCAGCUCGGCAUCAACCGUCGUUGGCCACAAGACCACCAGAUGCUUUACGGCAACGUUUUAACCAUCUGAAAAAACUAGUACAAAAGUACCUUGAUUGUGAGGUAUUUGCUUUCAGGCACCAAGGUAGUGGGACCUCAUAUGAAGACGUAUUAUCAAUCGCGUCUAAGAAUUUCAUGGUCCAAAACAACCUCAAGGAGUUUAGAUUGCAAGGCUGCAUCGAGGUUUUACGUAACGAACCAAAAUUUAACACCAACGUUACAAAAAGUGUUGACCCUAGCCAGCAAUCAAUACCGGACUUCGUCGAGUCUCCAACAACAUCAGAGAUGGAAUAUAGUGAACCAGCUACUCCAACGAGCUCCGAAAACA